CGUCCUCUUCUCGAGUUGUAGUUUGAAUAUUUCUACCGGCUCUCUUGGAUAUACUAUAUUAAUAGUCCUCCUUUCGUGGAUGAUGUCAGUACUGUACUCAAUAGGGUAUUCUUUGCUUUUGAGAUCAUCCGCCUAGACUAACGCCGAUAGAAAUAAAUCAUGCGAAAGUACAUUUCCUUUUCCUAGACACUUGCACGAAGGAGCAGCAGCAACGUUGUAGGUGGCUCCUUCGAAUCCCGAUUUGCCAAUAGCUCGGCGCUACCAACACGUAAGCCGAGCAUGCAAACUCCGAUUUGAAAGGCAGAGAGCUUAGACGAACCUCACGACCACGUCAUCUUCGUCCUAUCUCAGUCAUGUUAAGUGGAUUUUAUCUUUGUACUCGAAGGCACGAGCAUCUAUGUAUACUCGCGGAAGCAUCGAUGCUUGCUUCGUCUCGUCCUUCGUUAAAGAUUUUACGGUACCAUCUACCACACGUUUUCGAAUACGUUCAUUAUGGGAGAAUCCUGUCCACGUAGAAAAAGUUUCGAAAGACCGUUAGAAGUCUGCCGGAAGCUAUCAAAACUCUCGCAUAGAAGGAAUUAAAGAAAAUUGUUCGUAAAUAAGCUAUACUAUGGAUUUACUAAAAAGAUCUUCAAUUUGUAUUCUAUUUAUUUAUACAUUCGUAAUAUUUUAUUCUUCUGUUUUCAUUUCUGAAAGAAAUUUUCAUUUUCAUCUAUUUAUCUGUUAGAGUAUUAUUUAAAGAAAAUUGUUUUGAUAGUUUUACUUUUUUUUUUUUGUUUUUGUUUUCUAAAAGAGUCUUUCCUGAAACAGAAUGAUGAGAAUUUCAUCAAGCGUUACUCCAGAUGAAAAGGAUAACGAUGUAAUAGAAGAAAUCAAAAUAAAAUCAAAAGGGUUGGAUAUAUUUUUCUACGCAAUGUACGAAUGAAUAUGUUUGUUACGCAUCUGCGCUAAUAGAAGCAGCAAAUCAUCUCAGGGAAAACAUUAUCUGUUUGUUACGUAUAUUUUUCCAACGUAUUUAUUAAAUAACAUUAAAUUCGACUGAAUAUUUUUAUCCUUCAAUUUCUUCCUCAUUUACUUAUUUUCUAAAGAUGAAAUUUUAUCAAUUUUAAGAAAAACAUUCG